UGGGACCCUGCUCCUUGCCUCCUUCUGGAUCCAGGCUGGAUCCCUAUAGGAUCUGGAACAGAAGCCCCAGUCCAUAUGUUUGAGAAUCUGAGUGAAAUGGAGCCUGGGUUUCCCUUUCUGCUCAAGUCCCAGGGACUCAGGCAGCCCCGAUUUGUCCUGUACCCUAGUUUGUCCUGUACCCCGGUGAAGGGAAAUGACCAGGGCAGACUUCCAAGCAGAAGGACCGGAAAUGACCCCUUGGAGCUGUGAGCCCUGUUUGGGAAGAGCCACUGCACGAUGUCCAUGUACUCAAAAAUAUUGUCAGAGGCCCACUAAGACUCGGCUGGCCCUGGAAAAUAGUAAAAGUGAGCUGAGAAAGAACCUGCAGGCCAGAAGAGCCUUGAGGUUGAGUCUAUAUGGAGGAGAAGUGAAUGGACUGAGCUCCAGAGGGGGGAGAGGGACACCCUACUCAGUCCCUGGACACCAGUGUCCACACAGGUGCUGUGGCCCCGGGGGACAUAGAAGCCAGUUCUUGAUGGGGGGAUGGAGACGAUCAGCUAAGAAGACGGACCCUCCCGGCCGGCUUCCAGGGGAACAUGCCGUGCCGCAGACAGAGGUUUCUACUCCGCCGAAGCAUGAAUGCAAACCGGCAUCUGCAGGAAGAACAUUUAAGGGGACCCUGAUGGCUUCGUCCAUGUGUGUGGAACAUAUGUUUGGAAGCCUAUUAAACAAAAAGC
rnacentral:lncRNA from 1 species